rnacentral:rRNA from 1 species
UACGUAGGGUCCGAGCGUUGUCCGGAAUUACUGGGCGUAAAGAGCUCGUAGGUGGUUUGUCGCGUUGUUCGUGAAAACUCACAGCUUAACUGUGGGCGUGCGGGCGAUACGGGCAGACUGGAGUACUGCAGGGGAGACUGGAAUUCCUGGUGUAGCGGUGGAAUGCGCAGAUAUCAGGAGGAACACCGGUGGCGAAGGCGGGGUCUCUGGGCAGUAACUGAC